rnacentral:rRNA from 1 species
CGAAGGGGGCGAGCGUUGUUCGGAAUCACUGGGCGUAAAGAGUGCGUAGGCGGUUAUGAAAGUUAGAAGUGAAAGCCCAGGGCUCAACCUUGGAAUUGCUUUUAAAACUACAUAACUCGAAUUCGGGAGAGGAUAGCGGAAUUGUCAGUGUAGCAGUGAAAUGCGUAGAUAUUGACAGGAACACCAGUGGCGUAAGCGGCUAUCUGGACCGACAUUGACGCUGAGGCACGAAAGCGUGGGGAUCAAACAGGAUUAGAUACCCUGGUAGUCCACGCCGUAAACGAUGUGUGUUUGUCGCUGGGGAGUUUACUCUUCGGUGACGGAGCUAACGCCAUUAAGCACACCGCCUGGGAAGUACGGUCGCAAGAUUA